GUUUUGUAAGAUCAGUUCAGUUAAAAGAAAGUUACAGCUUCUUUCAACUCUCUGUCAUUUUGCAAUUAGAGACCCAACGAUCGCCAAGUCCUUCACGGAAUGACCAACACACAAGGAUUGCUUCGGCUUCUCUUUCCUCUGUUUCGGUUUCGCAAUUGCUGGGUUUCUGGGAUUUUUUUUUUUUUUUUUUUUUGGGAUGGAGAGCUUCGGCUGAGUUUCGGCUAGGCAAUGGUGUUCUUCGGAUACAUAGGGUAAAGUGAGUUUUGAUUAAUCUGAAACUGUGUUGUUGUGCUGUACAGUUUGCUUGAGAGAGAGUGUGUGAAGGCAAUUAUUGUGAAGAAAGAAGAAAGAAGAAAUGUUGAAACAGUCAAUCUGUGAAGAAAGUAGGAGAAAGGGAGGAGCUGGUCAGCUGCUGACUUGAUGGAGACAAAGUCCUAAUGCGGGUCUCACAAAGAUGCAACUUGCAAGUAUUAACAAAAUCAUUUAAAAGUGGUUUAGGAACAAGUAGCAACAAUGAAUUGGAAGGUAAUUUCCUGCUGUUGGAGAAAUUGGAGAUCAGAAUCAUCAGAUAACAAAGCUUGUUCACUCCAGUGGGGACGCUUCUUCCAGUUGCAAAUUUGUUCCAAAUUUCCAAUGUCAUGUUUCCAAUGAUUAUGCCGAAAACACAAAGAAAGGGUUCCAUGGCUUUGUUUCUACUCCUGCUAGCAUGAUGGAGAAAGUUCAUUCAAGAAGUUCCAUGGCUUCUGAAUCAAAUGUUGUAGCCCCGUACGAAAGGAAUACCACCACCAAAGAAAUUAAGGGUUCAACAACAACAACCUCGUGCUAUUGGUUCUGAUCUGCCAAUUGCAAGAAGAGCUUCACUUCAUCGAUUUUGAGAAGAGAAAGGAUAGGGCGGCAGCAAAUGCACCAUACCAAGUGAACCCACCUUCACCAGCUGCACCCAAGCCUGAGGAAAGCAUUCCAUGGAUUGAGGUGGGAGUUCAAUCUUCAAACCAGCUUGAGCUCAAGUUAUAGUUACCACCUGAUCACCAUCUUCUAUGACUUAGGUUACACCUCCCUCUAGUGCCUUAAAAAGUUAAAAUCCUAACUAUACUUGUCAGCUCUUCUGUACCUUUUUUGGGUUUAAUUAUUUUAGAAUCUAUGCAUAUAUUUUUUUAGAUUAGUGAGUAUGGCCCAAGAAGAGAAGAAUUUGUAAAUUUCAUUUAUUAAGUGGAUCUGAUUUCUGAAGAUUUGAAA